UCUCAUCCUCCUAUUUUGUUGAACAUAAGAUUUUCUUUACCACAUAGGUGACCUCAAGAUUGGCGGCCACAGGAUUGGCGACUGGCUGGGGGUGUGCGGCGGCGGCGGGUUGGUGGAUUCCCUGCUGUAGGGUCAAUUGUCCGAUCAUCUCCCUCAAUUCUGCCAAAGAUGCCUCAAUCGCAGCAAGUCGCGCCUCUUGGUUAUCUACCAUGGUCGAACUUUGCUUUGAUAUCAAUCUGAUAAAGGACUAUUUAGACUCCGUCAGGAGUUUUAACCAAUAUCGUUUGGCUAAGACGAAAUAAGAAAAAAUAUAG
rnacentral:lncRNA from 1 species